AGCAAAAGCUAGCCAAAGAACCAUUUUACUGGUUGAAGUUGAACUGUUUUUUAAAGUAGAAUGCAGUUGAUUUGCGACGAUGACACAAACAUUAAGCAGGACAUCCAAUUAUAAUUCAAAAGUAGUGUGACUGUUGUUUUUUUGCUGGCGUUCUAUGAGAACUCCAGAUGUAUCUACCCAGAGACCACCAAAUAAAAUCCUGAUUAGAUAUUCUCUCUUCAGUAUUAACCCCUCUCUUUCCAACAAACUGAAGACAUGAAAUCAGAAGAUUACAAUUAUUGUAAAGAUGAAAUAGAAAUUAAAAAACGAAAAUUCAUUUUUUUUUUUUAAUACCUUUUUAUAAAUCCUUCUCUGAAGGCCCUCACAGUUCCCCACUGAUACGUUUCAAUAUUCUAUAGUUAAUAGUGGGAAAACAAUAAGUAAACCAUAAUCAUUUAGGUUAAGGGCACUUAUGGCACAAAAUGUGAUACAGGCUACAAUCUUUAGAUUACAUUACUUUAGAUGAUCAGUUGACUAAUAUCUAAAUUCAAUAUAAAUUUAGAACAAAUUUACAAAUUGCUAAAUAUUGGCAGAGAGGUGUGUAGGAAACCCUGUUCCUGGAGUGCUGCAGGUAAACCAGGGGUAGGAAACCCUGUUCCUGGAGUGCUGCAGGUAAACCAGGGGUAGGAACCCUGUUCCUGGAGUGCUGCAGGUAAACCAGGGGUAGGAAACCCUGUUCCUGGAGUGCUGCAGGUAAACCAGGGGUAGGAAACCCUGUUCCUGGAGUGCUGCAGGUAAACCAGGGGUAGGAAACCCUGUUCCUGGAGUGCUGCAGGAUUUUGUUCCAACUAGGCACCACACCAGACCAACUGAGCUGAUUGAUCAGUUCAGUGACUAAAUUCAAAACACACCUGGUCUUCCAGGUCGGUUAAAUAAAAAACAUGAAGCGCUUGCGGCACUCCCGGGACCAGGGUUGCCCAAGUCCAGGGGUGUAUUCAUGCCGCCAAUUCUGUUGC